rnacentral:rRNA from 1 species
UACGGGGGGGGCAAGCGUUGUUCGGAAUUACUGGGCGUAAAGGGCGCGUAGGCGGCCUACUAAGUCAGACGUGAAAUCCCCAGGCUUAACUUGGGAACUGCGUCUGAUACUGGAAGGCUUGAGUGCGGGAGAGGGAUGUGGAAUUCCAGGUGUAGCGGUGAAAUGCGUAGAUAUCUGGAGGAACACCGGUGGCGAAGGCGGCAUCCUGGACCGACACUGACGCUGAGGCG